rnacentral:tmRNA from 1 species
GGGGGCGACAGGCUUCGACAGGGGCUUGUAUAGAUCUUUGGAUGCACGCCGGGCUUGCUUUCGACGGCUCGUUAAAACGUUGAAAGAAACACAAAUGCUAAUCAAGAAUUAGCUCUCGCUGCCUAAUUAACUUUAGCUACAGCGAUGUCUUGCCGGAAGUCUGCCCAAUGCGACCGGUAAAGGCAUAACCCAGUUUGGGCUAGGGCACGUCCACCGCCUGCGGACGGGCUUGAAUCGUUAGUCAGGCUGGUUUUCGGCAAGGUUCGCUCGUUUGCUUACUUGCCGGAAACAAGAUCUGAGCAAACGGGCUAAGCGUGUAGAGUUCACUGGUCGCAACCUUUGGAUGCGGGUUCGAUUCCCGCCGCCUCCACCA